rnacentral:rRNA from 1 species
UGGGGAAUCUUGCACAAUGGGGGAAACCCUGAUGCAGCGACGCCGCGUGAGCGAUGAAGGUUUUCGAAUCGUAAAGCUCUGUCCUAUGGGAAGAUAAUGACGGUACCAUAGGAGGAAGCCCCGGCUAACUACGUGCCAGCAGCCGCGGUCAUACGUAGGGGGCGAGCGUUGUCCGGAAUUACUGGGCGUAAAGGGUUCGCAGGCGGCAUGACAAGUCCGAUGUAAAAGGCGAAAGCUCAACUUUCGUAAGCAUCGGAAACUGUCAAGCUUGAGUGCAGGAGAGGCAAGUGGAAUUCCUAGUGUAGCGGUGGAAUGCGUAGAUAUUAGGAGGAAUACCGGUGGCGAAGGCGACUUGCUGGACUUCAACUGACGCUGAGGAACGAAAGCGUGGGUAGCAAACAGG